rnacentral:tRNA from 1 species
UGGAGUGUGGCUCAGUGGCAGAGCAUUCACCUAACAUGUACAAAGCCCUGGGCUUGAUCCCCAGCACUGCAA